rnacentral:miRNA from 1 species
GCCAGCCGCGAACGCCGUCCGUCCGUCCGUCCGUCCGUCCGUCCAUCGGUCGGUCGGUCGGUCCCCUCUCC